UGAGGAAGAUAAUGACGGUACUCAACAAGGAAGUGACGGCUAACUACGUGCCAGCAGCCGCGGUAAAACGUAGGUCACAAGCGUUGUCCGGAAUUACUGGGUGUAAAGGGAGCGCAGGCGGGAAGACAAGUUGGAAGUGAAAUCCAUGGGCUCAACCCAUGAACUGCUUUCAAAACUGUUUUUCUUGAGUAGUGCAGAGGUAGGCGGAAUUCCCGGUGUAGCGGUGGAAUGCGUAGAUAUCGGGAGGAACACCAGUGGCGAAGGCGGCCUACUGGGCACCAACUGACGCUGAGGCUCGAAAGUGUGGGUAGCAAACAGGAUUAGAUACCCUGGUAGUCCACACUGUAAACGAUGAUUACUAGGUGUUGGAGGAUUGACCCCUUCAGUGCCGCAGUUAACACAAUAAGUAAUCCACCUGGGGAGUACGACCGCAAGGUUGAAACUCAAAGGAAUUGACGGGGGCCCGCACAAGCAGUGGAGUAUGUGGUUUAAUUCGACGCAACGCGAAGAACCUUACCAAGUCUUGACAUCCUGCGACGGUGCUGGAAACAGUACUUUCCUUCGGGACGCAGAGACAGGUGGUGCAUGGUUGUCGUCAGCUCGUGUCGUGAGAUGUUGGGUUAAGUCCCGCAACGAGCGCAACCCUUAUGGUCAGUUACUACGCAAGAGGACUCUGGCCAGACUGCCGUUGACAAA
rnacentral:rRNA from 1 species